rnacentral:rRNA from 1 species
AUUGAACGCUGGCGGCACGCCUAACACAUGCAAGUCGAGCGGCAGCGAGAGUAGUAGCAAUACUACUUGUCGGCGAGCGGCGGACGGGUGAGGAACACGUAGGAAUCUACCCAGAAGAGGGGGAUAACCAAGGGAAACUUUGGCUAAUACCGCAUAAUCUCGAGAGAGAAAAGCUGCCCGCAAGGGUGGCGCUUUUGGAGGAGCCUGCGUCCGAUUAGCUAGUUGGUAGGGGAAAGGCCUACCAAGGCGAUGAUCGGUAACUGGUCUGAGAGGACGACCAGUCACACUGGGACUGAGACACGGCCCAGACUCCUACGGGAGGCAGCAGUGGGGAAUAUUGGACAAUGGGGGCAACCCUGAUUCAGCGAUGCCGCGUGAGUGAAGAAGGCCUUCGGGUCGUAAAGCUCUUUAGGUUGGGAAGAAGGUUGUAGGGGUAAUAUCCUUGCAAUUUGACGGUACCGACAGAAUAAGCACCGGCAAACUCUGUGCCAGCAGCCGCGGUAA